CACGUAGUUGGCCGGUGCUUCUUCUGCAGGUACCGUCACUUGCGCUUCGUCCCUGCUGAAAGAGGUUUACACCCCGAAGGCCGUCAUCCCUCACGCGGCGUCGCUGCAUCAGGCUUUCGCCCAUUGUGCAAUAUUCCCCACUGCUGCCUCCCGUAGGAGUCUGGGCCGUGUCUCAGUCCCAGUGUGGCCGAUCGCCCUCUCAGGCCGGCUACCCGUCGUCGCCUUGGUAGGCCAUUACCCCACCAACAAGCUGAUAGGCCGCGGGCCCAUCCUGCACCGAUAAAUCUUUCCACCACCAACCAUGCGAUCAAUGGUCAUAUCCGGUAUUAGACCCAGUUUCCCAGGCUUAUCCCGAAGUGCAGGGCAGAUCACCACGUGUUACUCACCCGUUCGCCGCUCGUCGUACCCCGAGGGCCUUACCGCUCGACUUGCAUGUGUUAAGCCACGCCCGCCAGUCGUUCGUCCUGACGCCGAGGAUACAAACUCCU
rnacentral:rRNA from 1 species